AGUAAAUGUAUUCGGGCCAUGAUAAUCACGACCCUAAGCUAGUUUUAAGUAAUUUCAUGAAAGAAGCAACAAUGUCCCUCAAUUUGUUUCAUUCCUCUUAUCUUUAUUACCUUCAUACUAGAGGCUCAUGGCUGGAACCCGUUUCCUUCAAAUUUGACAUAUAGUUGCUUCCUUGACUAAAGAUUUGAAAUACAUAAUGGUUUACCAUUAAAAAUAGUCAAAGAAAUCUGCCUCAGGUAACAGAAUGAAAGUAGGAUGCUAUAAUAUCAAAAGAAAUGAAUGUAUACAUAUAUUUCUUCCAAUUAUCCAGAAAAAGAACAACUAAUUGUUGUUUCCCGACUUUCCUCUUAUGUAAUUAUAUGUUAUUUCAAUCUGCUCAUGAACUUGUACCACCAUUUGAAUGAAAUCAUUUUUAAUCCUUCUAGUAUCAACUUUCGAAUCUGCAGAUUCUCUAUGUCAACAAGUUUGUGUUUAUUGUCUAUUUCUAAUUUUUUUUUUGCAUGUAAUUUAUUAGCUUUCUACUUUUCUUUCAAUGCCCUUAAUUUUGUGUUAUGAUAUGUUUUAUAUCUCAUCGACUCUUUUCAUAAGCUUCUUGUUGCUUUUAUAGUUUUUCCUCUUUAUGGUUUAUUUAUCCAUAUAAAAGUCUCAUAGAUUCCAAGGCGUUUUUAUGGGUCUACACAGGCUUUCACUUGCAAAAAUAAGUUGCCAGAGCAGUGGGGCACCCACUACGGCUUCCCUAGUUUACAAGGAUACGGGGAUGGGGCUUGCCAGGCAAUCAUGUUAGGAUACCGAAUCUCUAUAUGCGGAAAAAAAAAAAAAAAAAAAAAAAAAAAAAAAAAAAAAAAAAAAAAAAAAAAAUUAGUUAUUACUUGAAACAUGUCUGCAAAAAGUUGAUAUAUGUCGAAAUAUUACUUAAAACCUCUUUCCGACGGAUAUCCACUUUAUUUUAAUAAUUUUAUUUCAGGAGAUUCUACUAAGAAACGGGUGAUCGGUUCGUUGAGCCUCAACAGAUUAUUUACUUGCUGCCAUUGGUGUAUUCAAAUUUGAUGAUAUUUCAGGAUCAACGGAUGGAAAAAAAAACCUUAUUAUAUUGGAAUAGGUAUCUGUUUCAAUCUUUUUGUUGAAGUUGUACCAUUCGAGGAUCCCAGAGAAAAAAAUUGAACUCCCACUUGUUUUCAUGAAUUAUCCUCUAAAAUCAUCCUGUUGUCUGUAAUGUGUUUGUGUAGUUAAAUCAUGAUAAUUUUGUCAUUAAAUUACUUAAGCUAUAGGUAUUAAGAAAUUUUGGUAUCUAGAUGUUUAUUAUUGAACUUAAUCACUGAUGUAACUCACAUCCUUUUUAAUACAUGGAAACAAGUGGAAAUUGGUUUGUUUGUUGGAUGUGAAUUAGAUAAGCAACAACUCAUGGCUCUUCUAAAAUAUUAAAAGGUUUUUAUGAAGAAGAAGAAAGCUCUAUAGGAAACUGAAACAGAGGAAGGAAGGUAGAGACACUAACAAAGAGCUUGCCUGCAAUGCAGAAAUUCUUCAACAAGAAGACCAAUGAUGACAUCUUUGGUAAAUGGGUGACAAUUAACAAUAUUAUUUUAGUUUUGUUGUUUUCAUUCAGCUUUUAAAGUUGACAUUAUGCAAUCGUUUUGACUUUUUUAUAUAUGCAUAGAAUAUUAACAAGGAGCGACUGCAAAAAAUGCUACUGGUACAUGAAAUUCAUAAUAUGUGCUCUUUCUCUGAUAUCGUCCGCCCUCCUUGUGUUUUCUUAGGGCUUGAUUAAAUCGUUCACAAGCACCAAUUUUAGAUUUCUGUUAAUUCUCAAAACAACUUAUAUUACCUUUUAGUUAGCUAAAGACAGAAUCGAUAUAUAAAAGUGUGAGCGGUGAUGAGAUUAAUCAAUUUUGAGAUUGGUGAAUAGAAAGAGAGACAUACAUGUUUCGUUGAUGGAAGUAGAUGUUGUUCUUUAGGCUAAGCCGGCAACAAGAGUUCUUGUAGCUUCGAUUUGAGGUAGGAACAACUAAAUAAAUCAAUUUACAGAGGUUCAAGAACUUUAUUGCAAUUGAGGCGGCAAAAGGUAGGCUAGCGAUGCAGCCUAGAGGAGAUGAGCUUCAAGGUGGGGGCCGACACUCAUAUCAAAUCAUAAGAUAUGAUGUUCGUCCCCUUGAUAUAGAAAAAGCACCGGCAAGACGGUGGAGGAAAGAGUGAUUAUACCUCAGGGCUCAAGCUCAACUGCAAAGUCAGCUGCUCUGGAUAAUUAUAAAAAGACCAUGUUAAAGACAAGGUGAGAAAAAUCUAGAUACAACAAUCUAUUUGUAGAAGAUAUGUACGCGGGUACAAAUAACCUUUUUCACGUCGUAUCUUAUGAUUUGAUAUCUUACGAUUCACCCGCGUACAUAUCUUCUAGAACCAACGAUUCACGUCGUGAAUCCUUUAAGUCUCACAUCAUAUCUUAGAUUAAACUGAACCUUCAAUUGGUCACAUGGAGAAGAAGGAGAAGAAAAGCGAGACGAAGAUAAUAUAGUAUGGCGUUAAGAAGAAGAGACCUAGAGGCAAUUACUUACACCAAUAAGGAGGAGAAGAAAAAUCGAUUGGACCAAAAAAUAAGCCGCUCACUUCAAUUGGACCAAAAUCCGUCAGCUUUGGGGGAAACAAACCAGAAGAGGCAAGUAGGCAGCCAAGGUGCUGUGCACCGGAUACGUUAAAAGAGGCCGCCCGACAGCCUUCCGAUUGGGGGAGUACGUGAAGUCGAUGAAAGACCUCGCUGAUGGUAAUCAUACGUCACAGGUGUUGCUCACCGCCAUAUACCAUAAAAUCACC